rnacentral:lncRNA from 13 species
AUGAAGUAUUUCUGUUACUUGGUUUUCCUUCUACCAGCCUAGCCCCUUCGCUGUACGACUGCUGAGGUCCACUCCAGGCCCUGCUUGUCUGGGGUGCACCUCUAGCAGCUGUGGCACAGUGAGGGAUGCUACCCGUUUCUUUUUCUGCUAUCUUUGUCCCAGGAUGAUGCCUGCCAAAUUUCAGUCUUUUGGAUAUAGAGGGGUCAGGUAGCUGCUUGAGGAGACUGUCUGUACUUUUUAGGAGCUCAAUUGCUGAGCUGUGGGCUCUGUUGUUCAUUCAGGGCUGUUAGGCUGCUAUGUUUGAUUCUGCUGCAACAGAGCUCAUUAAAAAAACCCUUUUUUUCUCAAAUGCUCAUGUUGGGGGGUUCGGGCUUUAUUUUUCGAUGUCCAUUGAGGUGUCCUGCCCAGCUAGGAGGCAGACUAGUCACUGUUUGCCUGCCGAGGCUCUGCCCUGCUGUUGUGUGAUUUGCCCUGUUCCUGCAGGCUCUGCUGUGGUCUCCGCCAUGCCCUGCGGUGGAGUCUCUUCGUUGUAGCGUGUUGCCUCGGCAACAGGAGGCUGCGUCAGCAGUGGGCGUGUAUCUCAGUAGGGACGGGUUGCCUCGGCAACGGCUGGCUGCAUCAGCAGUGGGCGUGUAUCUCAGUUGGGGCGGGUUGCCUCGGUAGUGGUGGACGCCCCUCCCCCACAGAGCCUCUCGGACCAUCUGCUCGGGAUAGUUUGAAAUUGUGGUUUUGUUCGUCCCACUGGGUACCCCAAACGGUCUGUCCCUGCAAUCCCCUGGGCUGGCCAACUGUCCAAGUCUCGUUCAGUCUCAAGUCCAGCCCUCUCAAGUCUCAGGUUGCCGGUUCAACAGGGCACCCGGACAAGCGCGCCCUGUGGGGAUUGCUGCGUAGAGCCAGCCGCCACCGCCCCGGCUGCCGGCUUCGCCAGGCAGACCUACUGCCUGGCGUCCCGUGUCUUUUUUAUACUUGGGAGUUUCCCCGUUCUGUGGGCAACAAAGAUCAGUCUAGAAAUGCAGCUCUGACUCACCUCUUUGCGGAUUCAACGAGAGCUCCAAUCCUGGGUUGUUCUCACAGCGCCAUCUUGAGUCCUCCUCCUCAAAUUUAUAUAUAUAUAUAUAUUCUGAUUAUUUCAUUGUUUCCUCUAGAUUCAAGAUUUUUUUUUUUUUUAAAUCUCACCCUGGAGUGCAGUGGCACCAUCUCAGCUCACUGCAGCCUCUGCCUCUUAGGUUCAACCGAUUCUCAACCUACCAAAGAGCUGAGAUUACAGGUGCAUGC